UGCAGUUUGGUAACCUGAACCAUUCAGGCUC
rnacentral:piRNA from 1 species